AAAGAGAACUUAGGAGUUGAAUUCUUGGCUCUAUGCAAUAGCAAAACGUGAAGCAAACGAAGGGGAAAAAGAAAGUUGAUGCAAUGUUUGGAACCAUAUUGACAAUGAAGAAAAAUCUAAAGCUACUGAUUAUCUCGGGUAUUACUUAACUUCAAAUCUUUUAGUUUCUUUUUAUGUGUUGUGGGAAUUCCAUGGGGUAUUGAAAACUAAAUACCAAUAAGAAAUAUUAUGGACAUCAAUUCACUGAGUUUCGGCAGAAGCAAUCGAAGUCAAUGGAAAAGAGGAUUUAUUUCUUUCUAGCGAAGGGAUUUAUGGAGUGGAGAAGAACAAGCUAGGUAGUUGAAGAAGUUGAACGAAUGGCUCGAGGUGAUGCUUUUGGUAUCUCUGCACAAGUACUAGACGGCAGUUGACGCAGGCGAGGAUUUCGUUAAUUAGAGGCACAGGUUGAUAGUUCUUAGUGAGCCUCGCACUUGUUCGCGUGAGCGGAGAUUUUAUUUAUGGUUGUGGUCUUUUCUUUGAAUUCUUAGAGUCGCUCCAAAGUCAUUCUUUUAGUGUCAUGAGUAUUAGUUAUUUAUUAUAGUCUUAUGAUGAGUAUCGUUCUUUAUUAUCAAAGUUGGAGAUAAAUUAGUAUUUCUGGUUGUUAGUGGGUUGAUUAGUGAUGGUGGAGACUCGUUUUGGUUUAUUGAUAAGUUGUCGAUUAUUUGGUAUGA